rnacentral:rRNA from 1 species
AUUGAACGCUGGCGGCAUGCCUUACACAUGCAAGUCGAACGGCAGCACGGGAGCAAUCCUGGUGGCGAGUGGCGAACGGGUGAGUAAUACAUCGGAACGUGCCCAGUAGUGGGGGAUAGCCCGGCGAAAGCCGGAUUAAUACCGCAUACGACCUGAGGGUGAAAGCGGGGGAUCGCAAGACCUCGCGCUAUUGGAGCGGCCGAUGUCAGAUUAGCUAGUUGGGGGGUAAAGGCCUACCAAGGCUACGAUCUGUAGUUGGUCUGAGAGGACGACCAGCCACACUGGGACUGAGACACGGCCCAGACUCCUACGGGAGGCAGCAGUGGGGAAUUUUGGACAAUGGGGGCAACCCUGAUCCAGCAAUGCCGCGUGCAGGAAGAAGGCCUGG